rnacentral:misc_RNA from 1 species
GGCAAAAAUAUAUAAAUUUUCAUAUAGAACCAUAGGCAGUCAUGAUAACGUAAAGAAGAGACAUAGAUGCAUUGCUUAUUUUGAUUAUUGACAGGGACAGGGGAUUGCCAUCACUGGGGUUUUAUGGAUUAGACAGAGGAAUCUCAUGCUCCAAGCCAAUAGAAGCAUUCACACACAGUGAUCUCCGUUUCACUAUGCUGAGAAAAUUUUCUAUCAAGACUUUGCUUGCUACUCAUAAUCAACCAUCUUAACCAUAAGGAAUAAUGAAAUCGAUUUUAUUGGAAUGGAAAUAGGAAUCAAUUGAAUAAAUUAAAUGAUUGAUAACUACCAAUAUCUAAUUUCUUCCUUUAUUGUUGUUGUAUAUGAAAAAAUGGAGAAAGACUUCCAAGCUCAGCCCUUUUUUUGGCCUCUCUUCUAAAAGGCUUCCUGUUUCGCCACCACAAUCGAUCAAUUCCACUUGUUCGAACAAAUUUGCUAUUACUAGUUGUAAACUUGGUCUCCAGGGGCUUCUUUUUCCAUUCUGUGUGCUGUGGAGAAAGUUUUUUUGGUUCUACAGGCUUGGCACUUGUCAAUCUCUCAUUAUCCAUUUGCGAUGAUGUAGAUAACUCCAUUUUUUGAGGUUCACAUGCAGCGCAAACAUAGAUCUUUGGAGGGCAGAGUAACUUAAUACAAUCAACAUGAUACCACUCAUCACAUCGAUCACAAGUAACUUUUGGUCUAUCAUCAUAUGGUUUCCGACAAAUGCAGUACACCAUACUUCGAGUUCUCAAUAACUUCAGUUCCUUCUCCAAGUAAACUGGCAAAUUUUCAACUUCUGAAAUAAGUUCAAAAACUUGAUCCAAACCAAGAGCCCCAGAAUCUGAUGCGACCUUCUUGGCAUGAUCUGCCCACUGCAAACCAAUGUGCUUUAACUCUGUGACUUUUUGUAGGAAGUAAUCUUCAGCAGGUAUAUUCACAGCCAGUCCCUCUUUCAUAAGCUGCUCAAUCUGUUGCAUUGUGGGCUUCUGUAUACUCUCUAAUAAUCUCUUAGACUUCACUCUCCAGGAAUUUCUUGCUAACGCCUGUUCAAGGCCAUAGUUACCUUGAUGAUCAUGAACACCUGCUACUCGCAUGACCUUCAAAGCAAUAAUCAUUUUUCUAGAGAUAACAUUAAGAUCUUUCCCCAAAUACGAUAAUUCAAAAUCCAAUAUUUCUCUCAAGCAUGUUUUGCAUUCCCGAGCUUGCUCCACAACCUGUCGUAAUGUAUCUAUUUCUUCAAUCCCUAGAGAGAAAUGUUCUGCAUCAGAUAAAUGUUUGAUCAGCAUACUUAACUCAGGUUGCCUCACCCCAUAUCUCUCAUUUUGAAUCAUUGAUGGAUCCUCACAAAAAUGACAAUAAGGGCAAAUAUAGACUUCUGCAUCAUUCACAUCAAGUGAUGCUGGCUCUAGGCACCGCGUAUGGUAGAGGUCUUUGCAUGUUGAACAAGUUAAAAACUCCUGAUCUUCACUAUUCCCAGUGCAACACAAGAAUAAGUUUCUCACUGUAAAGCUCUGCAACUUGCCAUAGAUGUACAGGGAUAUAUCUAGAGAAUGUUUGAUCUUUUGUAAGGCACCAAGCAAAGGAUGCCCAUCAUCUACAAGGAUUCCUAAAAUCUCCACACAUUGUUCCUUCCACUUUUCAACUUUUUGAACUUCAGAUGAAACCAUAUCUAGCUCGGAACAACUAAAUGCGCCAGCCUUCCCAAAUUCCUCAAGUUCUAGUAACAAAGACCAAGAACGUUCCUCAGCCUUAAGAUGAAAAAAUUGAUCCACUUGCUCUUGCCACAACUUGUGUUUCUGAAUAGCAUUUACCAGUUGAUCAACCACCAUUGGAAAGGAGACAUUUAAACUCUGAGAUUUCGCAAGAACUUCUUCUGCCUCACUCAACCUGCAUCUUUCAAAAUUACUUCGCAUAUGAAUCAACUCCAAGGCUUUCCUGAGCCAUUUAACCCCACCAAUUAAAGAGCUCCACAGAGAACUAGAAACACAUGUAAUAGAGAGAUUCUCUGAAGCCUCCAACAAGCUCUCAACAUCCUCAAAGGAAGGAGCAGCAUAGCACAAAGAAAGGGCCCUAUUGCACCAUUGCAGCAUAGAACAAGCAUUCUGAAGUUUUGGAAUCUCAAGGAAGUCAAAACCAAGAGAUAGACCAGCUUUUGUGAUGGAUUCUAUUCUAGUAACUGAAAGCCCAAUUCUCAUUGUAAGAUCACUGUUCUUUUCAUCACCAACAUAACUUGUACUCAAUAUGCACCCUGCAUCCUGCAAUGCAUUGGAGGCAACCCGCUUCCAUUCCUCACAAUUCUUUAAAACCAUUUCAAGCAUUCUUCGUUCAUCUAAAGUUAUUUUAAGUAACUUGGACUGCAAAACUAAGUCCUUCAGGUCCUCAAGUUUAAGCAAAGAACAAGUGCCAGAUUCCAUGCGAGAGGAAGACCCUAAAAAUGCUUCUGAAUUCUUUACCCAUAACUUGGCCAUUACCACAGCAUCUUUGACAUCAUUUAAAGUAGGUAAAAUCACAGAUAUGUUUUUGGCACUCCUUAUAAUUUCCUCAAAGUCAGACAUUUCUGCUCCAUGUUCAAGAACUUUUGCUGCUUCUUCUUCCCAAGACAAGGCAGCUGCAAGCACUCCGGAUACAUCAACAAAUAACUUCUCGCUCUCAAUCUGUAGCGCAGUAGCAUCCAUCAUAAGUUGCUGAAUGAAGUCCAAGGGCAUUUUGGAAUUGCGUGCCUUCAAAGCUUUUUUCCUGCAACAAGCCUUCUUCAACUCAACCUCAAUAAGAGACAGCUUCUCAACUUGAAUUCUCAAAGAUGCUCCAUCUUUCAGAAGGCAUUCUAAUUCAUCAACCACAUUGUCUUGAUCUUCCUGUUGACCAACAUUCACCAAAACAUCAUCACAACGGGCAAUCCAUGAAACAGCAUCAAGGUGAUAUUGCUUCAGAAGCAUCAACUCUGGUACAUUAACAGUAAAUUUAUCCCAUUCUCGAAGUAGCCCUUCAACAUUGUUUAGACUAAUAGGAACUUUCAAAAUUUCACUACACUGAGCCUGACAUAAUUCAGCAUGUCUUAACAGAUCCAAAAGCAUUUCUGCUUCAGGAAGCCUUGCUUGAAGCUCUGAUAUCUCUGACUUCAACUUGUAAAGCAUAUCAAUACUAACUGCAGUAGAACCUUUUUCUGAGAUGCAUUUCUUUGCGCAUUCUGUCCAUGCCUUUGCCGAUGAAAUUUUCUGAAGUAAUUUCUCACUUUCUUUUAUAUAGAUUGGGAAAUCACAAACUUUUGAGCACAACAAUUCCAACUCGGAGAUCUGAGAGCGACAAUCAGAAAGAAUGAAUGAUAUUAACUAAACAGAGUGAAUAUGAGUAUAAAAUCAGUUCCAACAUUAUCACAAAAUCAUGUGCAAUGGUAUAUAUAGAGGUACUUUUGAACAUGAUGAUAAAACAGAAUCAAUUUCCUGAAUCAACAGCCUGGCUUCUUCUGCAUGCUUCUGCAUGAAAUAAAUCAAACAGGUGUUGUUUCAAUUAGCAGACCUAGAAAAAAAUGCAAAGCAGAAACCACUCACAAACCAUAAUAACCUUCAAUUUGAGAUGCCCAGGCUCAUUACAGGGCACAGGAUCAAAAUCCAGCAAUUCAUUGAUAUAAUCCAUGUGCACUCUCUCAAAAUUGCAGUGACAUGACCAGUUUUCAACUUUAGAAAGGCAAUCUCUUAUUCCUUCUGCCCAUUUCUGAGCUACAAUCAAUUUCUUUGCCAUGUCUCUCACUGGAUUCAUCUCAGAACCAGCCCAAAGAAAUUGUUCAGCUUCCUUCAGCAGCGUAGCAAAUGCAUCACUACAGUAUGCAUUCUGAAAAGUCUUGCAGGAGCGCAAAAGCCAUUGCUCAGCAAGUUGAGCCAGACUGACAUGGCCACCUUUGACCUUCUUUGUCAAGACAUUCAUCUCAUUGGUACGGGGGUUUUGCCUUUGUAAGCUAUAACUCUCUGAUUUCUCGUCAGAACCACACUUAUCCACUUUGAGCAGCAAACCAUACAAUUCUGCAAGCGUAUAACGAUAAAGAAGGCAAAGUCUGCUGGAUUUGCAUUCACAAAUGUGCUCCCAAUGCUCCAGGCAUACGUAUGCAGAUGGCCUACAAUUACAAACAACAGCAGAAAGAUAAAGAUACUGCUUGCAAAUAAUGCAUGUUGGAUCCUCUUCAGUACCAACAUAUUCAGGACAUUUCCGACAGGGCAUAAGAGAUGAUUUGACAAUGCCACUUCUCCAAAGUCUCUCUCUCCCGGUCUUCUCUUUAGUAUACAUCCUCAGCAAUUCUUUCUUCAAAUAAGGUGAUACUUGGUUAUCACAAUUGCCAAACUUAGCUACCACGCAAAGAAGUUCCUCAUGAGAUAAAACAGCAGUUUUAUGAUACAUCUGAUACCUAUCUGCUCCAAACCCACCAUGAGGUAGCCAGUCAGCAGGAGCAAAAUUGACAGCUUCUGCACAAUUCAAACCAAAAUUGAAUCCUCCAUGAUAAGACCUGGGGAAGGUGAUGACAAAAUUUCCAGGCUCCUGCAGUACACUAUAGACUGGAACUCCAUUUUCUUGCAAGACAGAUGGGUUCAACAUUGUGACAAGCUGAAAGAGUAGAUCUGGUUGUGCAUCAAAAAGAUCAGGAAGACAAUUCCGCAUCACCUUCUCAAAAGAAUUGACUUCAUUACCAGGUACACUGUACCAACAUUUUGGCUCUCCCCAGUGCAGAUAAUUCAUAGAGUAAAAACAGUGAUCUUCAAAAUGCCAGCAAAAAGAUGAGAAUAGCAUGCCAAUAUACAGCCAGGGCACCAUAACACCAGUUAUAUUAUGAUGAACAGCUUGAAGCAUUGAUCCUUUCAACUUGGGCAAGUUAUUGAGAUUCCAUGGGCUACCACAAUAUUCAUCCCAUACCUUAGCCUCAACAGAUUCUGGUCUCUGAUCAUUUACACGUGGAAAUCCACUCCCAUAAAUUGAAGUAUCCAAAUCACUACCAUACAUAACUUCAACUUCACCUGCUGAUCCCUCCACAAUUUCCCAAAACUUUUUCUCCAUUUGCACCCGUGAAGCAGAACCUGAUCCAAACCAUUUCCUCUUGGCCCGUUCAGCAACACGCCUAAAAGCUUCCACCGUAAAGCGUUUACCAGGCACAAAACCAAAGCUAUCCUUAUCCGAGUUCAAGCAUUCAAAGCAAUACCAAUUCCCAGGAGGGAUUUGCUUUAGUGGAGGCGAGAGACAAUAAAUGUGCCAUCCCUUAUUACACCUAUCGCACAAAAGCAUCACUUCACCAUGCAAACCACUCUUGCAUUGCUCACACAUUUGAUCAAGCUCUUCAACUUCCCCCUUCUCAACUUUAUUGGAAACCCUGACCUUCUCACCAUCAACAUUCUUUCUUCUCCUUUUUGAUCCAUAAAUCUCAGCUUUAUCUUGACAUUUCUUAUCCUCUUCCACUCCCCUUUUGAAACUCUUAGUCGUUCCCUUAUUCAGCCGGUUAUAAUACUUCUCAUAAUCAUACAGAUGCUCAAAAUACAAUUGACACAAAACAUGCUUUGCACACUCUGAAAUCUUCUUCCCUGAAGUCACAAAUUUGGAAACCUCCCGCCACUUCUUCUCCUUCACAACUUUAUCAUACCCACCAAACCUCUUCACAGCAUUAAACAAUUUACACAAAUCCAACUCUUCCCCUUCAAAAAUCACCCUCUUCCUCGACUUCUUACCACAAUGAUCCUCCAAAAACCUCCUGUACUCCAACUCAAAAGUUUUUGAAUCACACGAAGCAGGCCUAGCCUGUAACUGAUGAAUAGCCUGUGUUUUCGUGGGAAAGCUAAAAUUAUCCAAAUUCAAUGCAAAUGGUGGUGUCCAGCUCUUUGGUGGGACAAUCUUACAUAUCCCAUAUUUCUCAGCCUCUGCUCUGAUCUUGUAUAUAUACCCUAAAGGGUCCUCAAAUUCCUCUUCACUCGGAUAAUAAACUGGUGCUGGAGGUAUAUGCAAUGACCCAGAUGAUGAUACACUCAAGUUUUGAACCAAAACCCCUUUCUCCACAGCUCUAGGCCUCCCCUUCCCCAUUCCCACUACUCACAUAUUAUAUCUAUGCAUCCAUAGAUACAAGUAUAAAACAAAUGAAACUUAACAAUCCAAAAGUUUUAAGAUCCCCAAACAAUGAAACACUUAUAAAUUCUAGGGUUUCAAGCGUACCUUGAAAAAGUGAGAGAGAAAGAGAAAAGGUCUGCUUCGUGUGCUCUCUUUGUUUAUAGAGUAAUGGAUAGAGAGUGAGUUUCGUGGGAAAUUUG